UUCCGGUUGAUCCUGCCGGACCUGACUGCUAUCGGAUUGAUACUAAGCCAUGCGAGUCUUUGUAGUAAUACAAGGCAUACGGCUCAGUAACGCGUAGUCAACCUACCCUAUGGACAAGAAUAAUCUCGGGAAACUGAGCAUAAUUCUUGAUAGAUCAUAAUGCCUGGAAUGGUUUAUGGUUAAAAUGAUUCGUCGCCAUAGGAUGGGACUGCGGCCUAUCAGCUUGUUGGUGAGGUAAUGGCCCACCAAGGCGAUUACAGGUACGGGCUCUGAGAGGAGAAGCCCGGAGAUGGGUACUGAGACAAGGACCCAGGCCCUAUGGGGCGCAGCAGGCGAGAAAACUUUGCAAUGUGCGAAAGCACGACAAGGUUAGUCCGAGUGAUUUCUGCUAAAGAGAUCUUUUGCUAGUUAUAAAACCACUAGUGAAUAAGGGGUGGGCAAGUUCUGGUGUCAGCCGCCGCGGUAAAACCAGCACCUCAAGUGGUCAGGAUGAUUAUUGGGCCUAAAGCAUCCGUAGCCGGCUCUGUAAGUUUUCGGUUAAAUCCAUACGCUCAACGUAUGGGCUGCCGAAAAUACUGCAGAGAUAGGGAGUGGGAGAGGUAGACGGUACUCGGUAGGAAGGGGUAAAAUCCUUUGAUCUAUCGAUGACCACCUGUGGCGAAGGCGGUCUACCAGAACACGUUCGACGGUGAGGGAUGAAAGCUGGGGGAGCAAACCGGAUUAGAUACCCGGGUAGUCCCAGCUGUAAACGAUGCAGACUCGAUGAUGCAUUGGCAUAUAGCCAGUGCAGUGUCGCAGGGAAGCCGUUAAGUCUGCCGCCUGGGAAGUACGUACGCAAGUAUGAAACUUAAAGGAAUUGGCGGGGGAGCACCACAAGGGGUGAAGCCUGCGGUUCAAUUGGAUUCAACGCCGGG
rnacentral:rRNA from 1 species